GUGGCUCAGCCAUCGUGACUAUGUAACCAGUAUUGGUCGGUGGCCCAAGGUCUCUCUCCUUUCAGGGUUCAACCUCCAACCUUAUUUCUGCUUCCUUCAUGUUGGAAUUCACACUGUGAGUGCUGCUACCAUAUUCUGCGUUGGAUGUGAGUUCUCAAGUUCUGGUCCAUGGGGAAUGGGCAAGUGAAGAUGAGAAUUGCAAAAAACUAUACUCCGACCAAUAGAAUUGUUGUCAUCCUUUCUCUACGACUCCAAGAGAAACUUUAUACUGGAGGAAGAAUAUUCUACCACUUUGGGAUGCUUCCAAAGAAAUGGGAUACCAAAGGAGUGAACUUCAGGUCAUUGGAAGUGGCCAAGCUGGAGGGCGACCUAUGGAGACAUGACCUUCAGUUCUUCCUGAGAUCGAUAAAGCUUAAAAGAAAAGAAAAAGCCAACUCAGCUUGUGCGUGGAUCCUGGACCUUGCUCUAAUACAGACCCCGCUCCUGGAGUGUAAGCCAUGCUUGACGGCUCAGCUUUCUUGUCACUAAUGAGUCUCGGCUUGGGUCAUGGAAAAACUGAAGAUGCAUUAGAUCAUCAAAGAAAAUGGCACAAACAACCCUGCAAAAGAAAGGAUCUUCUUCCAGAUUAAAUCUCUUAUAAUAUAA
rnacentral:lncRNA from 1 species